rnacentral:lncRNA from 1 species
AGGUGAGGGCGUGUGGCUGAAGCCUGUUCCUGCUUGGGGGUUGGCCACACAGCAUCCCAACUCCAGGUCCAGAGCCGAGCCUGACAGCCCUCCUCCACUGCCUCCUGGAGCUGCCGGAGAGAGGUCCGGGUCCGUUCUCCCCAAUUCACAGACAUGAAGACUGAGGCCGUGGUUCCAGUGGCUGCUCGGUGGUGGGGCUGGAGCUUGGCAGCAUCCUGCAGCCCUCUGGACUCCCGGCUCUCGAGUGCCGCGUUCUACCUGCUGUGUUCUAAAUGGACAUGCCAUCCCCACAGCUGUGUCAAUAAAGCAGCCAUUUACAGAGCGGGCGCCGGAUCCCGUGACAGGUUGAAAACAGCUGCCGUGUGCCAUUGGCACCUCCUGUGUGCCAAGUGCUGGCUUAGUCUCCCCUGGCGUUUUCUCAUAUCCCAUUAACAACCCACCCAGUGGGUAUCAUCAUCCCCAUUUCACAGGAGCUGUCACUGCCUCUCUCCUUGAUGGCGGGGUAUGAAGAGAAGCCUUUUGACGCAGGGAGAUGACCCCUCCCCGGCCUCCACCUACACAGCAGCCACGUGGCCACCCUGAACAGCUGCCACAGUGACCGACACCCCCUGGAUGUGUUUGUCCUCCCACAGCAAAGCACAAUUAACAUCCCCACUGGUAAAUGAUAUGGGGCCAUAUUUCACCUGGACCCAAAUGUGGGCCACAGAGGCAUUAAAAUAAAUGACGGCACGG